rnacentral:tRNA from 1 species
GCACCCUUAGCUCAGUUGGUUAGAGCAUCUCGUUUACACCGAGAGGGUCGGGGGUUCGAAUCCCUCAGGGUGCACCA